rnacentral:rRNA from 1 species
GAUGAACGCUGGCGGCGUGCCUAACACAUGCAAGUCGAACGAGAUGCGUAUUGGAAAGCUUCGGCCGGAAGAUGCGUUAUCUAGUGGCGGACGGGUGAGUAACACGUGGGUAACCUGCCUUAUGGAGGGGGAUAACAGAGAGAAAUCACUGCUAAUACCGCAUAAGCACACAUUGCCGCAUGGCAGAGUGUGAAAAGAUUUAUCGCCAUAAGAUGGACCCGCGUCUGAUUAGCCAGUUGGCAGGGUAAAAGCCUACCAAAGCAACGAUCAGUAGCCGAUCUGAGAGGAUGACCGGCCACAUUGGGACUGAGACACGGCCCAAACUCCUAUGGGAGGCAGCAGUGGGGAAUAUUGCACAAUGGGGGAAACCCUGAUGCAGCGACGCCGCGUGAGUGAAGAAGUAUUUCGGUAUGUAAAGCUCUAUCAGCAGGGAAGAUAAUGACAGUACCUGACUAAGAAGCCCCGGCUAACUACGUG